GAUGAACGCUGGCGGCGUGCCUAAUACAUGCAAGUCGAGCGAAUGGAUUGAGAACUUGCUCUUAUGAAGUUAGCGGCGGACGGGUGAGUAACACGUGGGUAACCUGCCCAUAAGACUGGGAUAACUCCGGGAAACCGGGGCUAAUACCGGAUAACAUUUUGAACCGCAUGGUUCGAAAUUGAAAGGCGGCUUCGGCUGUCACUUAUGGAUGGACCCGCGUCGCAUUAGCUAGUUGGUGAGGUAACGGCUCACCAAGGCAACGAUGCGUAGCCCACCUGAGAGGGUGAUCGGCCACACUGGGACUGAGACACGGCCCAGACUCCUACGGGAGGCAGCAGUAGGGAAUCUUCCGCAAUGGACGAAAGUCUGACGGAGCAACGCCGCGUGAGUGAUGAAGGCUUUCGGGUCGUAAAACUCUGUUGUUAGGGAAGAACAAGUGCUAGUUGAAUAAGCUGGCACCUUGACGGUACCUAACCAGAAAGCCACGGCUAACUACGUGCCAGCCGCCGCGGUAA
rnacentral:rRNA from 1 species